CCUACGGGAGGCAGCAGUGGGGAAUUUUGGACAAUGGGCGAAAGCCUGAUCCAGCAAUGCCGCGUGAGUGAAGAAGGCCUUCGGGUUGUAAAGCUCUUUUGUCAGGGAAGAAACGGUGAGAGCUAAUAUCUCUUGCUAAUGACGGUACCUGAAGAAUAAGCACCGGCUAACUACGUGCCAGCAGCCGCGGUAAUACGUAGGGUGCAAGCGUUAAUCGGAAUUACUGGGCGUAAAGCGUGCGCAGGCGGUUUUGUAAGUCUGAUGUGAAAUCCCCGGGCUCAACCUGGGAAUUGCAUUGGAGACUGCAAGGCUAGAAUCUGGCAGAGGGGGGUAGAAUUCCACGUGUAGCAGUGAAAUGCGUAGAUAUGUGGAGGAACACCGAUGGCGAAGGCAGCCCCCUGGGUCAAGAUUGACGCUCAUGCACGAAAGCGUGGGGAGCAAACAGGAUUAGAUACCCUGGUAGUCCACGCCCUAAACGAUGUCUACUAGUUGUCGGGUCUUAAUUGACUUGGUAACGCAGCUAACGCGUGAAGUAGACCGCCUGGGGAGUACGGUCGCAAGNUUAAAACUCAAAAGGAUUGACGGNNGAGAGNGCGAGACGACGACGAGGGAGGAGG
rnacentral:rRNA from 1 species